GCAAAAUUGAGGCACGCCACCAGGAUCCACCCCAACAGUCCUGCCCUUGCAAUACGAAGCCACAACUACAAGGAUGCUUCGCCACUCUCCGGCCGGCCUCCACUAGACCACCCCUCCCCUCGCCGUCGCCGGAGGAGGCCGCCGGGCGAAGCCCCGCGGCGGACGGCGGCGGCGAGGUUGCGUGCAGCCUCCUCUCCAGCCUGCUGCGUUCUCUCCUUCUCCCUCAGAUCCAAAAUCCCCCCACGCCUCCUGCUUCCAUGCUUGCUUGGCUACGGCUGCCGGCCAUCUAAAUGCAUCGGCUGCCCCUGCUCUGGCCCCAUGGCUGCCGGAUGUGGCUGCUGGUCCUUGUGGACGGGGCGCUGACGGUAAAAUUUCGAGCUGACGGCUUGUGUGGACGACUGCUCGGCGCGGCGCUGUGGGGGCGCGGCUGGGUGGCCGGCGGUGGCCGUCGCGGUGGGCCUGCGGGUUCGAUGGCGGGGGGUUGCGGGCACGGGCGUGCUGGCGCGGGGCGUCCUCGUCCUGGGUGCGCGUGGCCCUGGGCGUGUGGCGCGGUCGUGGUGGCGCCUGGUGCUGGUGCGGGCGGCCACGGACGCGCGUCGAGUCAGGGGAGCUGCGGGCGAGGUGGAUCCAGAGCGGCCGGCGCGCCGGCUCCAGAUCUGGCAGUGGUCGGAGCUUGCCGAGAUCCCCGUCCCCGAUCUGGCGAUCUUCGAGGCGGUCGGUCAUGGGAUGGUGCUCGGCGGCUUGGUUGGCGCUGCCGGCAGUGUUGGUGAAUGCGUGGCUUGCUUCUGGCUCGGGGCAUGCCGGUCGUGAUGGCGGGUGGCCUGGCGAUGAUCUCGGGCUGGAUCUGAACUGCAGUGGUCGAAUCGGGUCCUAUACGGUGGUGCUCUGGGAGAAAUCCCUGCUCACCCAUUGUGUGAGCCGACCACUAUGGCGCCUCCCCGGCGUCGUAUACCUUCCUAGAGGCGUGGUCUUCGAGCUGUUCCGUGUGGAUCUGCUUCGGCGUCGUUCAGGCCGUCUUGCUGUAGGGAUAUGCUCAAACUCCGGGUGAGAACCUUUCAUCGACUAUGUCGAUGUCGGCGGCAGCGGCGUCUAUGGACGUCGUCUUCCUCGCAGGAGGUGCCGCUGUGGAGCUCCAGCACCUAUGGUAUUUUGAUUUGUGGUCUCCGGGUGAAAACCCAAGAUCGGGCUUGCCGGAUCGGAUGAUGGUGUUGUGUCUUCGACAGCACUACCUCCUUGGAGGCGUCAUCUUGGAGGCCCAAACCAUGGCCCCUGUUGCUGUUGUGUGGUUCAGGCUGGUGCGUUUGGUGGUGGUGAUGCGGCCAGCUUGGGGCCGACGGUGGUGUAUUUCUUUUUCAGGUGUUUCUCUUGGCUGUCCUUCGUGUGGUCUCCGUCUUGUUGCUGUGCAUGCUCAAGACCCUCCCAUGGUUGCCGUUGUGCUGCGGUGAGCUCUGGGCUCUUGGUGUUGUCUUGGUUCACCUUUGCUCAAUGACGACGCAAUGAUGCCUCCCCAACCUGCUAAUCGUUCUGACCGCCCGUGGCGGAUCUUCCAGUCAAGGUUCGUGUUAUGGUUUGGCACUCGUUGAUUGUGGUUGAUCCUCUGUUGUGCCGUGGGGCUCGGUACGCACGCCGGUGCGGUGCGUUAGGUUGUUUGCAGAGUCUUGGUAUUGUGAUCCCUCGACAGAACCCCACAUCUACUUGUGUCUCUCGUGGUGUUGGUCUUUCUGCCUGCUAGCUAGGUCAUGCCCUCUCCUGGGUGGCACUUUUUUCUCAUCUUCUGUAACCUUGUUACCUGUAUGGUUUUCGGCCCGGUUUUCCUCAUAAAUGGGGUCAACUUGUUUAGAUUUUUGAUCCGGUUUUCCUUAUAAACUGGAUCAGCCAAAGCUUAAGGGGUCACUCUUGGCUUUGGCAACUUUUUGAGCAAUAUAUUCAGGUGGGGAUCCUCUCCCCCCCGGUGACCGUUCAAAAAAAAACUACAAGGAUGCUUCUUGAGGCACAAGACCAAGAACAGAUGCUACCGAGGUUAAUUACUCAAUCACUCAAGCGUGUGCUACGUGAUGGUGGAAAGGUUUCGGCCACUCACGAAGAGGUAUGUAUAAUACAGUAUAUCGUUAACUAUUUCAGCCAGACGAUGGUGGUGCGCGCAAGAUAACUCGUAUCACCAGAGAGGAGGGGGGCAGCGAGCAUUGCUUAAAUCAUGGUGUGCCACUAGGAGGCAUACCAAGCUCCUGGAAGACAAGGACGAUGGGUCUCCACCUCGACCUUCCAAUACCCCUUCCUUUACUUUGUGGAGGGUCCUCGUGGAGUGGUUGGCCUCAGGGAUAAUGCCGAGAACAUCUUAUUGGACGAGACAAAAGAUGUGUGCAGUGGGUAUGAGAGUGGAGAAGUUGUACCAGAGGGACCCGGCCAACAAUGAUCGUCUCAUAGUGGUGUAUCCAGUUAAGAUGCAUAAAAUUCAAGAAUGUGAGAAAAGAACAGAGCAAAUUUCUAAGCCCAAUAGAUUUUUGUGUAGAAAGAUGCUUUUGCAUCCACAUAUUAUUGCAACUCUUCGUUUCAGCCCGGGCAACGAUGAACUAGGUCGUAGUCGUGUAGCCCGGACACAAGCAAAGCAACAUCUGUUCAAGCUUAUCUUUUCAGAACCGCAAUAUAUUCUUCCAGACUUUCCUCCGUCCUUUUCUCUGGCUUUAAUCUUAGCGUAUUCACGUCCAGGAAACCAAUGAAGAUUGCUGCAAGAUUUGUCAAUGAAGAGGUCAAAGGAUGCAAGCAGAGUAGGAUCAAUACAUAAGAUAUCUCUUUCGCAAAAUAGAAAUAUCUCUUUCACAAAAAAGAAAACAUAGAUAUCUGGCCCAGUGAGCAUGCAUUUUGUCUGGACAAAUACAACAAAUACUUCAUAGACAGCAUGCUGCAGAUACCAAGAAACAUAUAAAAAUACUGCUUUAUGAAAUCUCACCUUUUAAAUUCAAAUAGAUGAGAAUAAACUACUUUGUUGAGACAUGCUCUCUAUGGUUCCACUAACAUGUAGUUUUGCCCAGAUCUAGAGGAAUUACAUGUGCUAAUGUCGACAUAGCACCUCGGUAGCAGCUCUUACCUAACAAUCCCACUGGCAAUCUAUGCUGCACUAUAGUGAGACCGCAUCGGCCAUGUCAAACUUUGCCUCUACAGACAACUUGAAUGCACUACAGUGAGACCGCAUCGGCCGUGUCAAACUUUGCCUCUCCAUGAGUCUAAUCGACAUCAUAGAAGGGAAUAUGAAAUUGCUAACUCAAAACCAACUAGGACCUCACUAUCACCAACCAAGCCACCCCUUGUAUUAGUCCAUAUAUAGAUACAUGUAACUUCAAGCUACGCAAGCAAGGCAUGUAAAGAGCUCUUGAGAACAUAGAUAUAAGGAAACAGAAGAAGCAAACACGGGAGAGAGAGAGAGAGAGCUAGGGUGAGAGUCCAGCCCACCGAGCAUGGCCAUCGAGUUUGCCACGGGGGCGAUGCGCUCCCUCAUUCCCAAACUGGGGGAACUGCUCCUGGAUGAGUACAACCUGAAGGGAACUGUGAAGAAGGGGAUUAGGGACCUCAAGGCCGAGCUCGAGACCAUGCAAGCUGCUCUUGAGAAGGUCUCCAACGUGCCAUUGGACCAGCUUAAUUCACAAGUCAAGAUCUGGGCCAAUGAAGUCAGGGAGCUGUCCUAUGCCAUAGAGGACAGUCUUGACUCAUCCAUGGUGCGCAUAGAUGGUCUUCAGCCUACAAAACCACGCACGUUCAAGGGCUUCAUCAAGAAGACCCGCAACAAGGUCAGCAGGUUCAAGAUCCGCCAUAGAAUAGCUGAUGACAUCAAACACAUUAAGAUUCAAGUUAGGGAGGUCAAGGAACGGUUUGAAAGGUACAAGAUCAACGAUGUUAUGUCUAAUCUCGCCACAACGACAGUUGACCCUCGUCUCUUGGCUAUGUACAACAAGGUAUCUGACCUUGUUGGCAUUGACAAGGCGAUGGAUGAGCUAAUGAGGAUGUUGCCUGAGAAAAGUGAAUUGUUGAAGAAUCAACCACUCAAGACUGUCUCCGUUGUUGGAUUCGGAGGAUUAGGCAAGACAACUCUGGCUAGAGCAGUUUAUGACAAGCUUAGCAGUUCAUCCACUUGUAGGUGUUUUGUACCAGUGGGUCAAAACCCUGACACGAAGAAAGUUCUUAGGGACAUACUCCAUGAACUUGACAAGGAAAAGUACAUAAACAUCACUGCAUCAAAAAUGGAUGCAAGGCAGCUCAUCGACGAGGUGCGUGGAUUUCUUGGGAACAAGAGGUACUUUGUCGUUAUGGAUGACAUAUGGGAUAUACCAACGUGGGAAGUGAUAAAGUGUGCUUUACUGGACACUAAAUCUGAUAGUAGAGUAAUCACAACUACUCGUAAUAUUGAAGUUGGCAAGAGAAUUGGUGAAAUUUAUAACAUGAAACCGCUUUCCAAUGUUGACUCCAAAUCCUUAUUCUAUACAAGAACAUGUGGUGGUGAAGGAGUAAGUUCAGAUAACCAACCUGCUGAAGUAACAAGCAAGAUUUUAAAGAAAUGUGGUGGUGUGCCAUUAGCUAUCAUUACAAUGGCUAGCUUGCUUGUUGGUAAACGAAGUGAGGAUUGGUCUAAGGUUUACGAUGCCAUUGGCUUUGGGCAUGAAGACAACGAAGUUGUUCAUAACACAAGAAAGAUAUUGUCUUUUAGCUAUUAUGAUCUCCCUUCCGAUCUAAAGACAUGUUUAUUGUAUCUAAGUAUGUUUCGUGAGGAUAGCUUUAUUGAGAAAAUACCACUCAUAUGGAGGUGGGUCUCUGAAGGUUUUGUACCUGAUAGAGAAGGAAUGGGGUCAUUUGAGGUAGGAGAGAUCUAUUUCAAUGAGCUAGUAAACAAAAGCAUGAUCCGAUGGAUAGAAUUUGAUGACGUCGGAAAGUUCUAAGUGGUUGUCAUGUCCAUGACAUGGUGCUUGAUCUCAUUCGCACAAUAUCAAAUGAUGUGAACUUUGUUACAGUAGAUGCCAUGGAGAAGAAUAGCAUAUGUUCGCAAGGCAAACAAACCAAUAAGGUUCGCAGAUUAGCACUUCACGGAGGAAGUGUGGAACACAACUCUAGCAUUCAAAUGGAAUGGGUGAGGUCAUUUACUGCUAUCUCGUGCAGUGAUAGUGGAAUGCCUCAACUGUCAAUCUUUAAAGUAUUACGUGUACUAGUUAUAGAGGAUUGUGUUUUUCCUGAAGGCCAUAGUCUCAAGGAUCUUGGCAAGUUGGUCCAGCUGAGGUACCUAGGACUAGUGGGGACGUCGGUCAAGCUCCCGGAAGGAAUAGGGCAUGAUCUAAAAUUUCUUGAGAUAUUGGACGUCAGGGGAGGUACCAUAAGUGAGUUGCCAUCAUCUAUUGGUGAGCUAAAGAAUUUGAGGUGCUUGUGGGCUGAUAAGGGUACAGAGAUGAAGGGUGAGAUAGAGAAACUGACAUGCCUUGAAGAGUUGCAGCUUUAUUCGGUGGACAAAUGUCCAAACUUUUGCUCUAUGGUGGGGAAGCUAACAGAGUUGAGGGAGCUCAACAUCCAUUUCAACCAAAUGGCAGAGACGGCGGGCAAGACUCUGGUGGAGUCUCUGUGCAACCUGCGCAAGAUCCGCAGCCUGGCUACCUGGCCUCAUGGUGUAUCCUCGCAUGUUCUGGGUGGUAGCUUGGAAUACUUCGCACCCAGUUCAAAUCUCCGUUUGUUCCAUAUGUUGAGGAUACUUAUACCCAAGAUGCCAUCGUGGAUCAAUUGUUUGCGUGUUCCACUCCUUUUUCGCCUGUGUUUGCAUGUGGAGGUGGUAGAAGCUCAGGAUAUUCAAACCCUUGGAAGGUUACCGUCGCUCCUCCAACUCAUGCUCAGAGUGGAGAAAAGGUGCACAUCAUGUACUUUUGGCAGCGAUGAGUUUCACAAACUGAGUUUGCUGAAGACCAAUAUGGAGAUCUGUAUUGGACAAGGAGCAUUGCCGAUGCUUAAAACGCUGGCAUACAGUGCCAGCGCUCGAGAAACGGAUGUGGCCAGCUUGGUAACCUUGUUGACAUGGAGUGGGAAUUGCCCUUUGCUGGAGAACGUCAGCUGUUCUAUUAACUGCGCUAACAGUGGGAAUGUGGAGAUACUGGAGGCAGCGCUGAUGAUCGCCGCCAAACAUCAUCCCAAUUAUCCCAAGCUCAAGGUAGAAAGAGAGAACUACGUCCGACCAGAAGGCAGGUCGAGAGGUAGUGCACCGCACUACUGCAAACAAAGAAGAGGCAGGCAUUGAUGUUGCCACUAUUUUCUCUUCCUUCAGUCAAGAGGGGAUGACUCAACCUUAAAUUGCACUCGCACUAUUCCCCUUCCCUCAGUCAUGCAAUCAAGCUGGUAUACUAUAGUACUAUGCCUCCUGUGUCUUCACCUCCUUGUUUCUUCAACUUGUAUAUAUUCGUCAACAUGCACUCAAAUAUAUAUAUGCCAACUUAUUUA